ensembl:rRNA 5S_rRNA 5S ribosomal RNA
GUCUAUGGCCAUCCCACCCUGGCAACGCCUGAUCUCAUCCGAUCUCGGAAGCUAAGCAGGGUCGGGCCUGGUUAGUACUUGAUGGGAGACCUCCUGGGAAUACCGGGUGCUGUAGGCU